CGGGGCCUGACGAGUCCUUACAAGGCAGCGGCCAGCCACGCAGACCCCCUGGGCACCCGGGCUGCAGGCGGUGCCGUCCAGGACGCGGCCGAAGCUGUGGUAGAAGGCGUGCCCCUCAGCCAGGCAGUUGAGGUCGCACUGGUUGGGCGCUGAGGGCAGGAGGAGUCGGUGGGCCGGGGACCCCUGUUCGAGCUCCAGUCCCCCUCUACCAAGCUUCAUCAGGCAACCAUCACUUUGGGCAGAUGAAGCCCAGAGAUUUGGCCAAAGCCACACAUCGAGGCUGAGGCAGAGCCAGGACUGGACCGUAGGUGCUCUGCGUCCAGCAACCUGGGACUCGCAGACCCUCUCCCUGAGACUAAUGAGUUGUUCGCUCUGGACCAAUUCUGACCACAGGAGACCAGACUACUCACCCCCAUGGAAGGGCACCCACUGGUAGGUCUUCUGGGUGCCCAGGACAGGGCGGCCAUUGUA
rnacentral:lncRNA from 1 species